GUGCUCAUUUUGGCAUCACAUAUUCUAAAAUUGGAACAACACAGAGCUUAGCAUGGUCCCUGCACAAGGUAACAUACAAAUUCAUGAAGUAUUCAAUAUUUUU
ensembl:snRNA U6 U6 spliceosomal RNA